rnacentral:rRNA from 1 species
CCUAAUACAUGCAAGUCGAACGGUAACAGCGGAGCUUGCUCCGGCUGACGAGUGGCGCACGGGUGCGUAACGCGUAUGCAACCUACCUUUAACUGGGGAAUAGCUCAGAGAAAUCUGAAUUAAUACCGCAUAAUAUUAUUGAUUGGCAUCUUUCGAUAAUCAAAACUCCGGUGGUUAAAGAUGGGCAUGUGUGACAUUAGCUUGAUGGUGAGGUAACGGCUCACCAUGGCUACGAUGUCUAGGGGGUCUGAGAGGAUGAUCCCCCACACUGGUACUGAGACACGGACCAGACUCCUACGGGAGGCAGCAGUAAGGAAUAUUGGGCAAUGGACGAAAGUCUGACCCAGCCAUGCCGCGUGCAGGAUGAAGGCCCUCUGGGUCGUAAACUGCUUUUAUAUAGGAAGAAACCCUCGUACGUGUACGAGGCUGACGGUACUAUAAGAAUAAGGAUCGGCUAACUCCGUGCCAGCAGCCGCGGUAAUACGGAGGAUCCAAGCGUUAUCCGGAUUUAUUGGGUUUAAAGGGUGCGUAGGCGGAUUAAUUAGUCAGUGGUGAAAGCCUGCAGCUUAACUGUAGAAUUGCCAUUGAUACUGUUAAUCUUGAGUUCAGUUGAGGUAGGCGGAAUGUGUCAUGUAGCGGUGAAAUGCUUAGAUAUGACACAGAACACCAAUUGCGAAGGCAGCUUGCUAAACUGAUACUGACGCUGAGGCACGAAAGCGUGGGGAGCGAACAGGGAUUAGAUACCCUGGUAGUCCACGCCCGUAAACGAUGAAGAACUAGAUG